rnacentral:rRNA from 1 species
ACGUAGGGGGCAAGCGUUGUCCGGAUUUACUGGGCGUAAAGAGCGCGUAGGCGGAGAUCUAAGCGUGGCCUGAAAGCCCCCGGCUCAACCGGGGAGUGCGGCUGCGAACUGGGUUUCUUGAGGACGAUAGAGGAGAGUGGAAUUCCUGGUGUAGCGGUGAAAUGCGUAGAUAUCAGGAGGAACACCCGAGGCGAAGGCGGCUCUCUGGGUCGUACCUGACGCUGAGGCGCGAAAGCGUGGGGAGCGAACG